CCUACGGGAGGCUGCAGUGGGGAAUAUUGCACAAUGGGGGAAACCCUGAUGCAGCGACGCCGCGUGAAGGAAGAAGUAUUUCGGUAUGUAAACUUCUAUCAGCAGGGAAGAAAACGACGGUACCUGACUAAGAAGCCCCGGCUAACUACGUGCCAGCAGCCGCGGUAAUACGUGGGGGGCAAGCGUUAUCCGGAUUUACUGGGUGUAAAGGGAGCGUAGGCGGUUUAGCAAGUCAGAAGUGAAAGCCCGGGGCUCAACUCCGGGACUGCUUUUGAAACUGUUGAACUAGAGUGCAGGAGAGGUAGGUGGAAUGCCUAGUGUAGCGGUGAAAUGCGUAGAUAUUAGGAAGAACACCAGUGGCGAAGGCGGCUUACUGGACUGUAAAUGACGCUGAGGCUCGAAAGCGUGGGGAGCAAACAGGAUUAGAUACCCUGGUAGUC
rnacentral:rRNA from 1 species